UAGGUUUUGCACACUAGACAAUUGAUGAGUUAAAUUGAGUGAGUACAGGAACUCAUGAACAGCUUGUUAUUGUCGGAACCAGUCCAAUAAGAGUCUUACAAGCCACAUCACAACCAUUGCCAAAAGAAAUCAACAAUACACGGAACCACAAGUACAUCUCUAGACUGGUGAAGGGCCCAAGUAACUUGCCAACAAGAAACAACCAUACGCACAGACAUACACAAAUCACACAUCCCAGGAAGGGAUAUACACACCUUUGUGCAUCACACUACCUAGCUGAGGGAACCGUCUCGCUCGAAUCAGUCGCCUCCUCGAUCGUAUCCUCUUUCGAUUCCUUCUCUUCGGUGAUGGCGUCCGAGCUGCAGGGGCCAGAGGUGCCCUGGACGGAGCUGGUCGUCUGUUGAGGCUUGAACAGAUCGUCAUUCUCCAAGAUGGAGAACUUCUCGGCAGAUUCCCCCUUGAGCAUCUCCACAACCUCGGACAUCACCGGCCUCUGUUCUGGCUUGGUCUGAGUGCAAGCAAGCCCGACGAGCACCAUCCGCUUCACCUCGGCCUCGGCAAAGCUAUCCCCCAGCUUUGGGUCAGCCAUCUCCUUGAACUUCUGCUCACGGGUGAGUGGAAGCGCCCACUCGGUGAUGGUGAGCUUCGUCGUAGGGUUUAUCUUCUCGACCGGCUUCUUUCCGCUGGCAAGCUCCAGCAGGAGCACUCCGAAGCUGUAGACAUCGCAGCUCUCUUUUGCCUUGCCAAGCAUCGCAUACUCCGGCGCGAGGUAACCGAGAGUGCCUUUCACCUUUGUAGUGACAUGGGUCGCACCAUCUGGUAUGAGUUUCGCAAACCCGAAAUCGGCGACCCGCGCUUGGAAAUUCGCAUCCAAGAGAACGUUGCUCGCCUUGACGUCUCUAUGGAUGAUAUGUGGGAUCGCAUGGUGAUGAAGAUAACUACAAGGUGCAGAGGUAUUUAAAUGUUAUUAGACUGCUGCAUUAUGAUGAAUGAAUAUUAUAAAGUGAUGUUGAGAGGCUUACGCGAUGCCCUCAGCCGAAUCAAUGGCGAUGUUCAUUCUUCGCUCCCAACCAAGAUGGCAUUCAGCUGCAUGCUGUCCGUGCAGGUGAGAGUGCAAGCUCAGGUUCUGCAUAUAGUCGUAGACUAUCAGACGCUCCUGGCCUUCAGCGCAAUAUCCACGUAAGCUCAAGAGGCUCUUAUGCCGCACUCGUGCCAAAACCUCGACCUCGACAGCAAACUCCUUUUCAGCCUUGUUGCUCCAACUCUUGAGCCUUUUCACCGCAAUCUGUUACAUGGAAUAAACAGUUGAUGUGCGGGUGGGGAGGAAUUAAAAUGCAAUUUCUUGACUUUACAUGGUACAAAUACAAGGUGCAUACUCUGAUAGUCACCACAUGGCACUUCAACUGAAACGUAACAACUUAAAACUUCCAGCGAAAUAAAACAACUACAAACUUCUCAUGAAAUGUAACAGCCAUAAUAAAGUCGAUAACAAACAUAAAAAGCUAGGCAACAGCAACACUAUCUUACAAAAAAAUUGCUCAUUGGUUACAAUAUCCAAGUAAGUAAAACAAUAUCUGCAAAGGAGAUUAAGUUGAGCAAUUCUAACACACUGUCAUUUAUAAACAACUUCUGAAGAUAAACUUCUACUCCCUCCGUCCCAAAAUAAGUGUCUCAACUUCGUACUAACUUUACAUGGAAUAAAUACAAAGUUGUACUCCCUCCGUUCACUUUUGUAAGACCGUUUAGAAAUUUAAGACAACACCCAAAACAGUUCAAUUCCUGCUGUCUAAAGCGUCUUAUAAAAGUGAACAGAGGGAGUACUAAGGUUGAGACACUUAUUUUGGGACGAAGGGAGUAUUUAGGUAUUCUGUUUCAUCUCCCUUUAAUAUGCUCAUAGGAUUCAAGAAAAACACAAGCUACCAAGUUGUGGGCUUCUAGUAGUUUUUAGUUAUGCACUUAUGCCACUGCGCCACAAACUAGCAGGUAGAUAUAUGGCCCCACUCUACCCCGUUCAGUGAUCAUAGCAUGUGUCACGACAUUUGGGGUCCAGGGCCACCUGUCAGUGACACAUGAUGGGGCAUCGUUUAUCAGGAAGGAAACUAAGACGUGGCAUUUUGAUCAAACUUUCCUUAAUUCUUUACUUAUUAAGUUCAUCCCAAGUCAACCUCUUGCCUCAUCUGUCAUUUAAAUAUAUCCAUAUGAGACUACCAAGAUGUCAUUUACAUUUCUACACCUAGUACUCCCUCCAGUCCUUUUUACUCUGCAUAUUAGGUUUAUCCGAAGUCAAUCUCAUCCAACUUUGACCAAGUUUAUAUAAAAAAUUAUAGACAUUCACAUAACAACACUAAUAUCAUUAGACUCAUCUUGGAAUAUAUUUUCAUAUUAUAUUUAUUAGAUAUUAUAGAUGCUAAUAAUUUCUAAUAUAAAUUUGGUCAAACUUAGCAAAGUUUGACUUUCGGCAAAUCCAAUGUGCAGAGUGUAAAAAGGACCGGAGGGAGUACAAGCAGAUACUCAGAACAAACAUAUAGUGAUUGUCUGGCUUUGUCAAGGCAGCAUGAUUGCAUCUACCCAGGCCAUAUAUGCUUUCUAAUUUUCUAUACCUCCUCGGCUGUAUUCACACUUAAAAAUUAUGGUCCUAUCUAGCUUGUGAUCAUGAGACAUCUACCACAAAGCUAAGGCUAUAUACUUGGUAAAGUGAAUGCAUAAAAAAGUAAACCAACAGUUUUUUCUGACUUGAAAAGUAAACCAAUAGAUGAAGGCGAGAGAAAGUCAGUUUUCCACCAGACCAGAAAGUUCGUUCUUUGCACUUUCAAAGAGAGUGGGUCCAGUUUGGAUUGCUGUUCACUCUCAAAGAAUAUUCACGGGCUCUGAAAACUACAACCAUUUUAAAUUUCAAAUGGCACUAGAGACCAGAAAUAAAUUAGGAGGUGAAACUAAAUUCAGCUAAAUCACAAGCACCAACAACCGCGGGACUCCACUUCAUUGUCCUGUUCGUAGCAGUAAUAAUAAAAGACACUAGAAACAACAGAUACAACAAAUCAGUGUGCACAUAGCAUAACACAAGUUGCGGCAUCUUGCAUUUCUUAUUUUUUUAAGAGAGGGACUGCACCUGUGAUCCGUCCCAGAGCUGGCCCCAGUAGACACUACCGAAUCCACCUUCACCAAGCUUGUU
rnacentral:lncRNA from 1 species